rnacentral:ncRNA from 1 species
CUCAGUGAUAAAGGCCGUGGGGGUGCAAAGAAAGCCAGGAGGUUUGCCUAGAAGCAGCCACCCUUUAAAGAGUGCGUAAUAGCUCACUAAUCGAGCGCCCUUGCGCUAAAGUAAAAUACACAUAGAG